UCCUAUAUAUGUGGAUUAGCUUUGUUUGUUGGUGUGGAUUGUUAUUAGGGAACCAAUAUGGAGAUGAAGGAACAUUAUAAUUGUUGCAAAUAUAAUUCUAGUUUUUUUCUUUUGUAUUUUGUAUCAUUACUCUCCUAAUUACAAAAAUGUUCAAACUGCAGUUUUGGUGUCAAAUGCAUUGCUUGACUUGACACAUCUCCAGUUGUCUACAGUUGUUCCUAGGCUAGGUAUUGUCAUGUAGUGCUGAUGAUGUCAUUCCUUAGAAGCUAUCUGUGUUUGAAAGCAUUGGUGUGGAUGGCAAUCUUUGGAUGGUUCGUUAUCAGGGACGUCCGUGGAACAAGGAACAAGCACCUGAAGAUUCUGAACUUCAUAAUUUGCAGGUUGACAACUGAUGGAGAAGGAACACGAGAAGGGUAGGGCAAAGAAGAACGCCAGAGAAAGGAGACAAAUGAUCUGAAUUUCGUGUUAUACUAAUCUUUUGUAAGUGGGGCGGAGAGCUUUCUUCAAUUGGCCCCGGGUUAAUGGAUAUGGACCAGUUUUGAUGACUUGUGGGUCAUGAGCCAUGCCUAUGGUGAAUUGAAACAGAGAAGAGAAGAGAUCAUUAUAGAGCAACUACUUCUUUUAAGUAGGUUCAUUAGGCUCAGCUGUACUCUUUAUCAAAAUUGAGCAUGUGCUCGAGCAUCUUUCUUUUUAGAGUAUUGUUGUUGUACAACUUUGACUUGUUCUUGUAACUUUGUUGUUGUUUGUUUUGUCCUAGUUUUCUGUCAUUUUGUUGCAACAAAUGGUUAGAAUUGUCAAGCCGCACCUUCAUCAGCAGAGUUUGAUUUCUCUAUAAUAGUUUUUCUACAAUGAUUUUGUUGUGCAUUUUUACCACAGCAAGAGACAUUAACAAAGUAUAUGAUCUAACUGUUCAAGUUAAAAUUGAAAUAACAUGACAUUAAAAUUAUACAUUCUAAAAUGAGUUAGCUUUGGUUUUAACUUUAAAUAUAGGAUUGGAUUUUCAUAGUAAGACUAUACGGAGAAAUUCGUCAUAGUGUUUGAG